rnacentral:lncRNA from 1 species
ACUUAGUGAUUGAGCCUGAGUCUCUAAUUAGACCAAAUUAAAAUAGAUAAACCGAUUGAUGUCUAAAGUAAAUUUGGCAGUCUUGAUUGGUGGUCAUUAAUUAAGAUCUACCCGCAUAGAUUGAGUCUAUGACGAGUUAAUGACAUAUUUCUCCUAUCAUUCUUGCUUACCUGACCAAUGUGGUUGAUCUAUGAUCAAUUAGGCUACUCAUUGACUCGAGCUAACCCAUAUCACAUAGGUGAAUCAGUAUGACUGAUUUAAGUAU